rfam:Burkholderia choica isolate LMG 22940 genome assembly, contig: contig000082
GCGAGCGGAGUGCGGCGAAAGUCGCACGCUCCGUUCUUCGGGGGCCCUGCGUCCGGGAGGGUGUGGGGCUACCCUCU